UAGGGAAUCUUCCGCAAUGGACGCAAGUCUGACGGAGCAACGCCGCGCGAGUGAAGAAGGAUUUCGGUUCGUAAAACUCUGUUGUUAGAGAAGAACAGCGCAUAGAGUAACUGUUAUGCGUGUGACGGUAUCUAAUCAGAAAGCCACGGCUAACUACGUGCCAGCAGCCGCGGUAAUACGUAGGUGGCAAGCGUUGUCCGGAUUUAUUGGGCGUAAAGCGAGCACAGGCGGUAAAUUAAGUCUGAUGUGAAAGGCCCCGGCUCAACCGGGGAGUGUCUUUAGAAACAGGUUUACUUGAGUGCAGAAGGGGAGAGUGGAAUUCCAUGUGUCGCAGUGAAAUGCAUAGAUAUAUGGUGGAACACCGGUGGCGGUGGCGACUCUCUGGUCAGUAACUAACGAAGAGGUUCGAAAGCGUAGGUAGCAAACAGG
rnacentral:rRNA from 1 species